rnacentral:rRNA from 1 species
AGAACGAACGCUGGCGGCAGGCUUAACACAUGCAAGUCGAACGCUCAUAGCAAUACGGGAGUGGCAGACGGGUGAGUAACGCGUGGGAACAUACCCUCCGGUUCGGAAUAGCUCAGGGAAACUUGGAUUAAUACCGGAUACGGCUGAGAGGCGAAAGAUUUAUCGCCGGAGGAUUGGCCCGCGUUCGAUUAGCUUGUUGGUGAGGUAACGGCUCACCAAGGCGAUGAUCGAUAGCUGGUCUGAGAGGAUGAUCAGCCACAUUGGGACUGAGACACGGCCCAAACUCCUACGGGAGGCAGCAGUGGGGAAUAUUGGACAAUGGGCGCAAGCCUGAUCCAGCCAUGCCGCGUGAGUGAUGACGGCCUUAGGGUUGUAAAGCUCUUUCGCUCGGGACGAUAAUGACGGUACCGAGAUAAGAGCCCGGCUAACUUCGUGCCAGCAGCCGC